rnacentral:lncRNA from 1 species
AAAAGCAGCUUUUUACAUGUAGUAAUGGUAGGGGAAGAAUUAUGGUUAAAAACCAAGUUGUUUAAAGCCAACAUUGAUCCACUCUCCAUACCUUCAUAACUUUGAAGACAAAAGGAAAAUAUUUGACAAAACCAGCUAUUGUUUCAUGUCAUCUGUAUCUUAAUCUGUCUCUUUGUCUCACUUCGAGCCAUCAUUGCAACUGAUUUU